rnacentral:lncRNA from 1 species
CCACAUGUUGUGGGCAAUGUUCGGUGAAAGAUAGGCACCGUCCUCCAGUUCCCGGAUAUCCUUGUCGGAGACGCAUGAGACCUCCCAUUUGCCUUGGGUGCCUGAGUCGGCCAUGGCUGAGCUUGGGGAAGGGCGGCUCGGAGAGGACGGAAAGUGAAAUGGAUCUAGGGGCUAGGAGCUUGAAUGAAAGGGGGGGUCGAGUCUCGAAUGCAUGUGGUGGCUUUGAGGAUAUUUUUCCCUUUAAUGGGGGCCACAAGGCUAAGGGUUCCCGUUUAUUGCGCCGCAGGCCCUGCCACUUCCCGAAAUAACCGUGUCGUUGAACACUCGCAGUAUUACUGAGACCAUUAUUUUUAUCCCCUUAAACGCGGGGGCCGAUCUCCUCAUUGACAAGAUGUUCCCGUGAGAAAGCAGCCUCGAACCGCCAAUCAAGUUUUUGUCAUAACUAGCUGUCGCGGCCUUUUGUCAGAAAGGAUGUCAAAUGAGGAGUUGUUCACGCUCUAGCUUUUAAGCCUUCUGAUUAAGCAGUGGCCAUUUUAAUGGCACAACAUCUACGGUUCCCUUCAUGUUCGACAACUCCUCAUGCACUCAUCUACCGUUCUAGCUCAUACAAUCUCGAGGUAGAUCAACUCUGUAAUCCUCAUACACACCAAUAUAAUCAAGCAAGACGUAGGGUUUUACCUCCUCAAGAGGGCCCGAACCUGGCUAAAUAAUGCCCCUUCGUCUCAUGUAACCCAUCGAUCCAAGGUCCACAGCUCGGUACCCCAUACCCGAGAUCCGUCAGUUUUGACAGCGACAUCGAGGUAUGUGAAAAUCCACCUCUC